GAACCGUGAGUUGGAGGGGCAGAUGGAAAGUCUGGCUAGAUUUGCAUGGAGAGGGGGGAGAACUGAAGGAGAGUUAGUAGAGCUCUGAGGCUGGAACCUGAAGAGAUCUCAACAUGGUGUGCCGAGCCCCAGAAGCUUCCCACAGAGGUUGAUCAUGGUGAGCUCUGGAGGAGAGAGAUUCCUCAGAGAAAGUAGGCCUCUCAAAGCCAUCCCAGUAACCCAGCAGCAGGGAUUAGUGCUCAGAAGUGACAUGGAACACAGACAGGAUGAGAAAGAGACAGAGCAGCAGAUCUCAUAAGACAGAGUGGCCACUUGUCCCAUAAGAGGAAUGGGCCUAUCAAAUGGUCCUGAAACAAAAUUAGUAAACGGGAAAGUUGACUAACUGACUCCAGAAGAACCAGAGGGGGAAAAUAGAAGCUCAGCUGGCCACCCCUUGAAGGUGAAGGCAGGAGGUUGUUGGGCUCCACUCAUCUCCUCUCUUCAGUCUUCUACUCAACUCAGGAAAAGUUGCUGCACAUUGCUGGCUCAGUCAUCCUGAGAUCGACCCACACACCCAGGUAGAACUAUUAAUGAACUAUUUCCUCACUGGACCUGAG